rnacentral:rRNA from 1 species
GGGUAGCAAUACCUGGUGACGAGUGGCGCACGGGUGCGUAACGCGUAUGUAAUCUACCUCUAACUGGGGAAUAGCCUUCCGAAAGGAAGGUUAAUACCGCAUAAUAUAAAGGAGAGACAUCUCCCCUUUAUCAAAACUCAGGUGGUUAGAGAUGAACAUGCGUGACAUUAGCUAGUUGGUAAGGUAACGGCUUACCAAGGCUACGAUGUCUAGGGGGUCUGAGAGGAUGAUCCCCCACACUGGUACUGAGACACGGACCAGACUCCUACGGGAGGCAGCAGUAAGGAAUAUUGGACAAUGGGGGCAACCCUGAUCCAGCCAUGCCGCGUGAAGGAUUAAGGCCCUAUGGGUCGUAAACUUCUUUUAUAAGGGAAAAAACCCCUUUACGUGUAGAGGGUUGAUGGUACUUUAUGAAUAAGGGUCGGCUAACUUCGUGCCAGCAGCCGCGGUAAUACGAAGGACCCGAGCGUUAUCCGGAUUUACUGGGUUUAAAGGGUGCGUAGGUGGACCUGUAAGUCAGUGGUGAAAGCCCGAAGCUCAACUUCGGAACUGCCAUUGAUACUGCAAGUCUUGAGUACAGUUGAGGUAGGCGGAAUAUGUCAUGUAGUGGUGAAAUACUUAGAUAUGACAUAGAACACCGAUUGCGAAGGCAGCUUGCUAAGCUGUAACUGACACUGAUGCACGAAAGCGUGGGGAGCAAACAGGAUUAGAUACCCUGGUAGUCCACGC